rnacentral:rRNA from 1 species
CAGUAGCCACGGUAAAACGGAGGGUGCAAGCGUUAAUCGGAAUUACUGGGCGUAAAGGGCUCGCAGGCGGUUUCUUAAGUCUGAUGUGAAAGCCCCCGGCUCAACCGGGGAGGGUCAUUGGAAACUGGGAAACUUGAGUGCAGAAGAGGAGAGUGGAAUUCCACGUGUAGCGGUGAAAUGCGUAGAGAUGUGGAGGAACACCAGUGGCGAAGGCGACUCUCUGGUCUGUAACUGACGCUGAGGAGCGAAAGCGUGGGGAGCGAACAGGAUUAGAUACCCCCGUAGUCCCUGUCUCUUAUAC